rnacentral:lncRNA from 1 species
GUCAGUGUCGACAAAUGAGAAAAUUUGAGCAAAGACAAUGGCUAUUGUUAUAGAAUUAAGGCUAACAACAAAAACUGAACAAACCACAAUUUAAAUGAUCUAAAAAUACCUAAUAACCUAUAAACAGAAAUAAGAUGAUCUAGUGACCUAAUGAGCAAAUUUGUUAUAGAAGUAAGAUAAUCUAGUGGAGAAGUAAGCUAUAGAAGCAGCAAUGAUGUAUAAACAGCUAUAUGUUAUAGAAGUAGAAUAAAGGUAGAGAUAAGACGCUAUAGGUUAUAGUUUUGUUAAUUACAUUUAAAACAUUUAAUAACGAUGUUUCAAAUUUGAAAAAUGUAAUUGAAAGUCAGUUCAUAUGGGAGCUCCAAAAAAAUACGAAAAAAAUAAAAUUUUAAUAAUGAAUUAAAAAGAGUAAAUAAAUUUAUAUAUUUAUUGAAGUUAUCAAAUAUCCAUACCCCAACUUCUAAAAACAGGGAAGUUUCUUAAUAUGAACAAAAAUUUGAAGUGACUAAAAUAUUAGAAUCAGGGAGAAUUGAAAUAUAUGUACAUCACUUGUGUAAACCACAAAAAUUUAUGCAAGGCAAAUGCUUUAAAAUCAAACACAUUGGCUCAAAGGAAUGAAACCAAAUUGCAUUCUAAAAGACGUUUGAGAAAAAUCAUAUUUUAAAAGAGAGUUGAUAAAUUUUCUUUAAAAUUGAAUCAUAAUUGAAGACAAUUAUGAGAAAGGAAACUUUGCCCAAAUUCAAUGCAAUGAACUACCACUUAAUAUAGAGAAAUUGAGUGGGGAACUAAGCUGUGAACAAUGAAAUAUUAUGUAUGUAAUGUGUACGUUAAUGAGAUGAAUGAAUUGAAAAGGAAAGAGCAUAAACUCUGAUGUGAAAGCAGGAGAGGCAAUUUUGGAACUGCCCUGGG